AGAAUCAACGCUGGCGGCGUGCCUAACACAUGCAAGUCGAACGCGAAAGGGGAGCAAUCCCUGAGUAGAGUGGCAAACGGGUGAGUAACACGUGGGUGACCUGCCUUCGAGUGGGGGAUAACGUUCCGAAAGGAACGCUAAUACCGCAUGACAUCCUGCUUUUGGAAAAGCGGAGAUCAAAGCUGGGGAUUCGCAAGAACCUAGCGCUUGAAGAGGGCCCGCGCCUGAUUAGCUAGUUGGUGAGGUAAACGGCUCACCAAGGCUAACGAUCAGUA
rnacentral:rRNA from 1 species